GGGUCCGUGGUCUAGUGGCUAUAGACCGACGCACGAAAUGGCGAAGGUCGGCGGUUCAAGUCCGCCCGGACCCA
rnacentral:tRNA from 2 species